ACCCUAAGUUAGGUGGGAUUACCUGUGAAGUUUAAGCAUAUUAAUAAGUGAGGAAAAGAAAUUUACCAAGAUUCCUCAGUAAUGGUGAGUGAACCAGGAAUAGCCUAGCUUGAGAAUUAGGUGCCCUCAACAUUUGUAUUAUAGUUUAGAGAAGCGUCCUCAAUGGUAUACUAGGCCCAAGUCCCUUGAAAAAGGUUGUUGGAGAGGGUGAAAGCCCCGUUGUGCCUGGACCUUAUUGCACCAUGAGACACUAUCUGUGAGUCAGGUUGUUUAGGAAUAUAGCCCUAUUAGGGUGGUAAAUUCCAUGCAAGACUGAAUAUAGGCAAGAGAUGAAUAUUGAACAAGUAUUGUAAGGAAAAUAUGAAAAGACUUUGAAAAGUGAGUCAAAAAAUGCUUGAUAUUGUUGGGAAAGAAGCAGAUGGGGGUCAAUGAUGCACCUCAAUUUGAUGUGGAAUGGUGAGAGCUAGUCCAUCGAUCAACUUGAGGCAUGGAUGCAUGGUUACCCAAGCUUGAGCUUUUAAUAUGCCCAUAAAGAUGUCAUUGUUGCAAUUAUGGAAUGUAGUAUGCACCAUCUCAGCAUGCCUCUACACUAGCAUGCUCUCGGAGUUUACUUGUGGGCUUUCUAUCUAGCCUAUCUUCAAACAUGAACUAAGGAGUUUGACAUGUGUGUGAGUCAACAAGCUAGAUAACCUAUAAAGGCACAAGAAAGCUGAUUGGUGGGAUCCCUCACGGGUGCACCCUGACCGACCUUAAACUUCUAAGAAGGGUUUAAGUGUGAGCAUGCCUAUCAGGACCUAAAAGAUGGUGCACUAUGCCUUAGUGGGGCGAAGCCAAAAGGAACUUUGGUGAAGGCUCACAAUGAUAUUGAUGUGCAAAUCAUUCAUCUGACUUAGGUACAGGGGUGAAAGACAAAUCAAACUAUUUAGUAGCUGGUUGUCUCUAAAUUUUCCUUUGGGAUAGUUAGAGCCUUUUGCAAGUUCUAUCGGGUAAAGCCAAUGAUUAAAGACAUCGAGUGCGCAAUGCCCUCAACCUAUUCUCAAACUUUAAAUAGGUAGGAUGACAUGGCUGCUUCAUUGAUCUGUGAAUCAAGUGCUCUAAGUGGGCCAUUUUUGGUAAGCCAAACUAGUUAUGCAAGAUGAACUAGAAGUUGGGUUACAGUGCCCAGCUAUGUGCAAACCUAGAACCCAUAAAAGGUUUUGGUCAACUAAGGCACUAAGAUGGUGGCCAUGGAAGUCUAAAUCCACUAAAGAGUGUGCACUAAUUUACUUGCCAAAUCAACUAGCCUUGAAAAUGGAUGGCACUUAAGUGCAUGACCUAUACCUAGCUAUCAAGGUAAUGACCAAGAGGGGAAAGGUUCCAUGUGAAUGACACUUGAACAUGGGUUAGUCGAUCCUAAGAGACGAGGAAAGCAUGUCCGAUAGUGUUUCCAAUGUGAGCUUUGAAAGAGAAUUGGGUUAAAAUUUCUGAACUAGGAAACAACAUUAAUGACAAUGUUAAGAAGUCUAGAGAUAGCAGUGGGGGCCAUAAGAAAAGUUAUAUUUUUUAUUUAACUACCUAUCCACCCUUAAAAUGGCUCAACUAAAGGUAAGGUCCAGCAUCCGAAAGAGCAUUGCAUGUCACAUGGUGUUCAAUGUGCUGCCAACAACCCUUGAAAAUCCAAAGGAUCGAGUGCUAUCCGAGCUUGAUUAUACUCAAAACCACAUUAGGUCUCCAAGGUAAACAGCCUUUAGAGCAUAGAACAAUGUAGGUAAGGGAAGUUGACAAAAUGGAUUCAUAACCUCAAGAAAAGAUUGGCUCUGAAAGUUGGGCAUGGGGUUUCCAAUCCUGAACCCAUUGGCUACUUAUACACUGCUUAAACUGCUCCCAUGGCAAGAGUGGGUUACCAUAUGCCAAUCGGGGGAUAAACCGGGAAUGGCUCCCUCAAGGGCCUUCCCUAGGUGAUGAUUAAUCGAUUUAAAAUUAGUAUGGACAAGGGGAAUCUGACUGUGUAAUUGAAAUAAAGCAUUAUGAUGGUCCUUGCAGAUGCUCAUGCAAUGUGAUUUUUGCCUAGUGCUCUAAAUGUCAAAGUGAAGAAAUUCAACCAUGUGUGAGUAAAUGGCAGAAGUAACUAUGACUCUUUGAAGGUAGCUAAAUGCCUUAUCGUCUAAUUAGUUACAUGCAUGAAUGGAUUAAUGAGGUUCCCACUAUUUUUAUCUACUAUCCAUCAAAACCAUAGCCAAGUGAAUGAGCUUGGCAAAAUUAGCAUGUAAAGAAGACCCUGUUGAGCUUGACUCUAGUCCAACAUUGUGAAAUGACUUGAGAGGUGUAAGAUAAGUGGGAGCUUUUAGUUGAAAUUGAAAUACCACUACUUUUAACAUUGUUUUACUUAUUCCAUGAAUUAGAGGUGAGUGAUGACCCCUUCUUUUGGACCUAAGGCUAGCCUCGAUCAAUCAAUCUGGGUAGAAGACAUUGUAAGGUGGGGACUGUGGCUAGGGCUCAUCUGUUAAAAAUAACCAUGUGUCCUAGGAUGAGCUUAAUGAGAACAAAAAUCUCAUAUAGAAUAAAAGGGUAAAAGCUCAUUUGAUUUUGAUUUUUAAUAUGAAUAUAAACCUUGAAAACAUGUCUUACCGACCUUUAGACCUUUGAAAUUUAAAGCAAGAGGUGGCAGAAAGUUACCACAGGGAUAACUGGCUUGUGGUAGACAAAUGUUCAUAGCGAUGUUGCUUUUUAAUCCUUCGAUGUCGGCUCUUCCUAUCAUUGUGAAGUAGAAUUCACCAAGUAUUGGAUUGUUCUCCCACUAAUAUGGAACUUGAGUUAGGAUUAGAGCAUCAUGAGAUAGGUUAGUUUUACCCUAUUGAUGGUAAUGUCAUAAUAGUAAUUCACCCUAGUAUGAAAAGAACCAUUGAUUCGCAUAAUUGGUCAAUGUGCUUGGUUAGAAAGCUAAGGGCAUGAAGCUACCAUGUGUUGGAUUAUGACUAAAUGCCUCUAAGUUAGAAUCCAAGCUAGAAGCAAGGCAUGCACCCAUCACCUAUUGUUGAGCCAUAGUAGAGGCCUAUGGCUGCUAAAGGCACAUGUUGUAGGUGCAGCCUUCAAGUCAGACAAGCUACGCAGGCCUCUUUGGCCCUCAAUUUCCAUAGAGUGAUGGGUAAAAUC
rnacentral:rRNA from 1 species